AGGAGCGGGCAAAGGCAGGUCAGUAUGCCCCGAAACCCCUGGGCUACACGCGGGCUGCAAUGGUAUGAACAAUGGGCUGUGACUCCGAAAGGAGAAACCAAUCCCGAAAUCAUAUCUCAGUUGGAAUUGUCGGCUGUAACCCGCCGACAUGAACGCGGAAUCCCUAGUAAUCGUGUGUCAUCAACGCACGGUGAAUACGUCUCUGCUCCUUGCACACACCGCCCGUCGCUCCAUCCGAGUGUGCUAAAAAUGAGGUUUGGUCAAUUUGGUCAUAUCGAGUUUCUAGUAUGCGAGGAGGGAGAAGUCGUAACAAGGUAUCCAAGGCGCAGCAGGCGCGAAACCUCCGCAAUACACGAAAGUGUGACGGGGUUACCCAAAGUGUUCAAUAGAACUGUGGUAGGUGAGUAAUGUUCCCUACUAGAAAGGAGAGGGCAAGGCUGGUGCCAGCCGCCGCGGUAAAACCAGCUCUUNCAGUGGUCGGGAUAAUUAUUGGGCUUAAAGUGUCCGUAGCCGGUUUAGUAAGUUCCUGGUAAAAUCGGGUAGCUUAACUAUCUAUAUGCUAGGAAUACUACUAUACUAGAGGGCGGGAGAGGUCUGAGGUACUACAGGGGUAGGGGUGAAAUCUUAUAAUCCUUGUUGGGCCACCAGUGGCGAA
rnacentral:rRNA from 1 species